rnacentral:rRNA from 1 species
AGAGUUUGAUCCUGGCUCAGAUUGAACGCUGGCGGCAUGCCUUACACAUGCAAGUCGAACGGCAGCACGGGAGCAAUCCUGGUGGCGAGUGGCGAACGGGUGAGUAAUAUAUCGGAACGUGCCCAGUCGUGGGGGAUAACGCAGCGAAAGCUGUGCUAAUACCGCAUACGAUCUAUGGAUGAAAGCGGGGGACUCGCAAGAGCCUCGCGCGAUUGGAGCGGCCGAUAUCAGAUUAGCUUGUUGGUGGGGUAAAAGCCCACCAAGGCGACGAUCUGUAGCUGGUCUGAGAGGACGACCAGCCACACUGGAACUGAGACACGGUCCAGACUCCUACGGGAGGCAGCAGUGGGGAAUUUUGGACAAUGGGCGCAAGCCUGAUCCAGCAAUGCCGCGUGCAGGAUGAAGGCCUUCGGGUUGUAAACUGCUUUUGUACGGAACGAAACGGCUCUUUCUAAUAAAGAGGGCUAAUGACGGUACCGUAAGAAUAAGCACCGGCUAACUACGUGCCAGCAGCCGCGGUAAUACGUAGGGUGCGAGCGUUAAUCGGAAUUACUGGGCGUAAAGCGUGCGCAGGCGGUUAUAUAAGACAGAUGUGAAAUCCCCGGGCUCAACCUGGGACCUGCAUUUGUGACUGUAUAGCUAGAGUACGGUAGAGGGGGAUGGAAUUCCGCGUGUAGCAGUGAAGUGCGUAGAUAUGCGGAGGAACACCGAUGGCGAAGGCAAUCCCCUGGACCUGUACUGACGCUCAUGCACGAAAGCGUGGGGAGCAAACAGGAUUAGAUACCCUGGUAGUCCACGCCCUAAACGAUGUCAACUGGUUGUUGGGUCUUCACUGACUCAGUAACGAAGCUAACGCG